AUGCAGGGCGGCGGCCUUGGCGGUGGGAGACGCGACGUUUGUGGGCGGAGCUCGCGUCUCAGGUGCUGGUGUGCAGCCAUAUCCACGCGGGUGGUUUGGUUGCGGGUGGUUGGCGGAGGUAGGGUGCGUUGGAGGGGUGUGAGCGCCGGGUACACCACUUGCUCAUGGGCCGACGGUGGCGACGUCCGUGGACGCCGUAUCCUUCAUCAAGGCUCCGUCGCGGUGUUCCCACUCCUUCGUGAUGCUCCAGGUGAAAACUUGAUCUUCGUGAUCGGACGGUGGCGGCUACCCAUAGUCGUGCCCUUCUGGAGGCACCGUCCUGGAGUCCCUGCUCCGUCGUUAUCCGCCUCGCCUCUCCUCGGAAGAUUGCGGAGGUCUCCGUUGGCUCCAAGCGAUUCAUGUUGUUUGGUAGUCGUUGGGGUGGCGUGGCGGUGCUUGGCACCUUUGUAUUUGCCUUGGGUGUGUGUCAUGUGCGGUGGUCGCGUGUGUUUGUAUCGGUGUGUUUGUAUGGUCGGUGCUUUAUAUAUAAAGCGGGGCGAAAGCCUUUUUCGGUAA
rnacentral:rRNA from 1 species